UACGUAGGGUGCAAGCGUUGUCCGGAAUUAUUGGGCGUAAAGAGCUCGUAGGCGGCCUGUCGCGUCGACUGUGAAAACCCAGGGCUCAACCCCGAACUUGCAGUGGGUACGGGCAGACUAGAGUGUGGUAGGGGAGACUGGAAUUCCUGGUGUAGCGGUGAAAUGCGCAGAUAUCAGGAGGAACACCGAUGGCGAAGGCAGGUCUCUGGGCCACUACUGACGCUGAGAAGCGAAAGCAUGGGGAGCGAACAGG
rnacentral:rRNA from 1 species